ACAUCUCAAGAUCUACUUGGGCUUCUUUCACAGGUCCUAUGGAAUCAUGACAGGUGACCCAACCACUUUGGGGUCAUCGUGGGGUCUGUUAGAUGCUGUCCUAGUAGGAGGCUACAAUGACCCAGCCGUAACACCUUAGGCACAGCUGUGUCUAGGGCCCUCUUGAGGUCUGAUUAGCUGUCAGAGGUUGCCCAGACGCGGGGCUUCGUCUUUGCUCGGCCCACAGGCUGUGGAAAGAACUCCUGAACCAUUGGGCCGGAGAGCCCGGUGUACAGGACAGGGCACGCCAGGUGGCAGCAGAGGAAUUGCCUCAAAGAAAAGACCUUGACGGGCACCGACUCAAGAACACCAGCCUGAAGGGUCACCUUCACUAGGAGACAGGGAAAAAGCCGCGAUAAACAUCCGGGGCCUGGUUCUGGGGA